AUGACGCAACAAAUUGCUCAGCUAAGCACCGGUAACAGCAGCGGUCAGCGACGUUCGCGUUUUAACAGCAGCAGGUCGCGCAGUCGCAGCAGAUCGAAGUCACACGGUCGGUAUCGAGCUGUCAAAUCAGGUAUGUGCUGGUAUCAUAGUCACUUUAAUACCAACGCACGGAAGUGCAUUCCGCCGUGCAACUUUAAAGCGGAAAACUAGCAAGACAGUCUACCGUGGCGGCUGCCGACUGUCCUCCUACUACAACCUGCCGCCUAUUUAUCACGGACAGAGUAACUAAAAUUCAAUACCUCAUUGAUACCGGAUCUGACCUUUGCGUUCUGCCACGCAAUUUUAUGCCUAAUUGCAAGUCGCCUGACAACUACUCGCUUACUGCCGCUAAUGGUUCGCUCAUACAUACAUACGGCAUAAUCAAGCAAAAGUUAGACAUAGGAUUACGCAGAGACUUUAUUUGGAACUUUGUCGUAGCAAACGUAAACAAACCUAUACUUGGCGCUGAUUUUCUUGCACAUUAUGGUAUUCUUAUCGAUUGCAGAAAUAGAAGACUAUUUAUUGACAGUUUAACAACUUUGUCGACUACGGGACAGCUUAAGCACUGCAACCAACCCAGCGUUAAGGCAAUUUCGGGUGACAGUGAGUACCACCGCUUGCUAGCAGAGUAUCCCAGCUUAACGAAACCAUCUGGACUGCCGCGAGAGUUCACAAGCGACAUCAGACACAUUUCCGGGAAAGACAACAUCACCGCUGACACGCUCUCCCGUAUCGAGACCAUUGCCGUGCCACCAGACUUCGAAGCCAUCGCGCAAGCUCAGCAGGAAGACCCAGAACUACAAGAGCUUCUUGCCAAUCGAUCUUCGUCACUGAAGCUUGAGAAAGUACCCGUACCAGGUCUUGGCAGAGCUUUGUGGUGCACAGCUGCGUCACACGACGGCUUAUCAUCCUCAAGCCAAUUCGAUGGUGGAGCGUCUUCACCGCUCCCUGAAAGCUGCAAUCAUGGCCCACAACAGCACGAGGUGGACUGAGGUGUUGCCGAUCGUCCUACUCGGCAUAAGAAGUGCGUGGAAGGAAGACAUCAAAUGCUCAGCUGCAGAGAUGGUGUACGGCAGGACUCUGAUUCUCCCAGGGGGGUCCUGUGGCGCACCGCAAUGCUGGCUGCCCACAAACCGUCUACGUCAACGAGACAACGAGUCAAUGUCAUACACAACUAAAUUUUCCUUCGUACGAUA